UACGAAGGGUGCAAGCGUUAUCCGGAUUCACUGGGUUUAAAGGGUGCGUAGGUGGGUUGGUAAGUCAGUGGUGAAAUCCCCGAGCUUAACUUGGGAACUGCCAUUGAUACUAUUAAUCUUGAAUACCGUGGAGGUUAGCGGAAUAUGUCAUGUAGCGGUGAAAUGCUUAGAUAUGACAUAGAACACCAAUUGCGAAGGCAGCUGGCUACACGAAUAUUGACACUGAUGCACGAAAGCGUGGGGAUCAAACAGG
rnacentral:rRNA from 1 species